AUGACGACUAAGCUGCAGGCUGCAGGCUGCCGCCGGAGUAUCGUCGCCGUCGUCUCCUGCCUCCUCGCCUCCAUGCUCCUGCUCCAUCUCCUCUUGCUCACGCCGUCGACAGCAGCCGCCGUGUCUCUCGACGCAACAGCAUCGCCGUGGCUGUGGCAGCAGGGUCGCCGCGGUCCUGCGGCAAGGAGGUUGUUGCUGGCCGCACAACCCAGGCCCACCACGGCCGUGGGCGGCACGGAGACCAACGAGUUCCACGUCAACGGCGGUACUCUUCCGGCGGCGGCGAACGGCAAGCCGGUGGAGGUGGGGUUCGACGCCAGCAUGAGGAAAUUUCCCAAGAGCGGCUCAAACAAAAAUCAUAAUUAG
rnacentral:rRNA from 1 species